rnacentral:rRNA from 1 species
GAUGAACGCUGGCGGCGUGCCUAAUACAUGCAAGUCGAGCGAACAGAUGAGAAGCUUGCUUCUCUGAUGUUAGCGGCGGACGGGUGAGUAACACGUGGGUAACCUACCUAUAAGACUGGGAUAACUCCGGGAAACCGGGGCUAAUACCGGAUAAUAUUUUGAACCGCAUGGUUCAAUAGUGAAAGACGGUUUCGGCUGUCACUUAUAGAUGGACCCGCGCCGUAUUAGCUAGUUGGUAAGGUAACGGCUUACCAAGGCGACGAUACGUAGCCGACCUGAGAGGGUGAGCGGCCACACUGGAACUGAGACACGGUCCAGACUCCUACGGGAGGCAGCAGUAGGGAAUCUUCCGCAAUGGGCGAAAGCCUGACGGAGCAACGCCGCGCGAGUGAUGAAGGUCUUCGGAUCGUAAAACUCUGUUGUUAGGGAAGAACAAAUUUGUUAGUAACUGAACAAAUCUUGACGGUACCUAACCAGAAAGCCACGGCUAACUACGUGCCAGCCGCCGCGGUAA